rnacentral:rRNA from 1 species
UACCAGCACCCCGAGUUGUCGGGACGAUUAUUGGGCCUAAAGCAUCCGUAGCCUGUUCUGCAAGUCCUCCGUUAAAUCCACCCGCUUAACGGAUGGGCUGCGGGGGAUACUGCAGAGCUAGGAGGCGGGAGAGGCAAACGGUACUCAGUGGGUAGGGGUAAAAUCCAUUGAUCUACUGAAGACCACCAGUGGCGAAGGCGGUUUGCCAGAACGCGCUCGACGGUGAGGGAUGAAAGCGGGGGGAGCAAACCGG